GACCUAGUUUGUUUGUGUUUUGAAAACACAAUUUAGGUUUUUAACCUGUAGUUUU
rnacentral:tRNA from 1 species